AAAAAAGGAAACGAUUGAACACUUGCCUGGGUCAAGAAUGCGAGAGGAGCUCAGGGGACAAGAUUGGGAGCUUGAAGCAAUCUUUGAUAUGAUAGAAAUGUUCCCAGCUUUGAUUGACAUCUGGGGGAAAGGUUUCAAGAGCUUAAGAAAGGCAGGAUUAAGUUUGAGGAGAAACGAGAAGACCUGAAACAAUGGCUCCCACGCAUGAGUGGGAAAACAGAUGCGAAGAACAUCUGCGAUUCGGUUUCCACGUCACGUGAUGAUAAGGUGCCAGGGGUUUCCAGUAGAUGAUCCAGGCUUUAAAGAGUCUCACUGAGCUUGAGUCCUGCCAGAUUUCACACCACACACUGCCAUCUUUGGUAAGGAUAUCUAUUUAACUAUCUGAUCAAAUGCACUGUCUUUCUCACAAGCUCCUAUUGUGGUCUCUCUGUGUCUGACUCAGGAAUGGAAGGGAGUAUUCGCAGGUUAUGUUCCGUGUCUGCUGCUAUUGUAUAUUCUGAUUUAUAUAGGGUCCAGCCAUUCAUAUAGAUAUUUCCCCAUGUUUAAAAUUUCAAUGUUCCAAUAAAUGACAUGAGCCACUUUUUAAAAAGUCAUAGGAAGUCAUAGAGUGGAAGAGUUUGGAAUAAAAUGGAAGACUUGGAUAUGCACCAAUUAGCCUCUGUGUACUGGAAAAGGCUCACCGUCAUCACUAACUCUUGUAUUUGUGUGACACCCUUCUUCCCUUACCCCAGUCAAGGGUAGGCAAUUCCUGCUGUUGCUUCCUUUAGCAUCUAUAUCACCCUUUCUCUGUCACCUGAAGCUUGUAUGUGAGUCUCAUUAUGGAUUACAGGGGAAUAAACUAUUUUAUUUUUCCCA
rnacentral:lncRNA from 1 species